rnacentral:rRNA from 1 species
AGUGAACGCUGGCGGUAGGCCUAACACAUGCAAGUCGAACGGCAGCACAGUAAGAGCUUGCUCUUACGGGUGGCGAGUGGCGGACGGGUGAGGAAUACAUCGGAAUCUACUUUUUCGUGGGGGAUAACGUAGGGAAACUUACGCUAAUACCGCAUACGACCUACGGGUGAAAGCAGGGGAUCUUCGGACCUUGCGCGAUUGAAGUAGCCGAUGUCGGAUUAGCUAGUUGGCGGGGUAAAGGCCCACCAAGGCGACGAUCCGUAGCUGGUCUGAGAGGAUGAUCAGCCACACUGGAACUGAGACACGGUCCAGACUCCUACGGGAGGCAGCAGUGGGGAAUAUUGGACAAUGGGCGCAAGCCUGAUCCAGCCAUACCGCGUGGGUGAAGAAGGCCUUCGGGUUGUAAAGCCCUUUUGUUGGGAAAGAAAAGCAGCAGGUUAAUACCCCGCUGUUCUGACGGUACCCAAAGAAUAAGCACCGGCUAACUUCGUG